GCUAAUACCGCAUACGACCUUCGGGUGAAAGCAGGGGACCUUCGGGCCUUGCGCGGAUAGAUGAGCCGAUGUCGGAUUAGCUAGUUGGCGGGGUAAAGGCCCACCAAGGCGACGAUCCGUAGCUGGUCUGAUAGGAUGAUCAGCCACACUGGAACUGAGACACGGUCCAGACUCCUACAGGAGGCAGCAGUGGGGAAUAUUGGACAAUGGGCGCAAGCCUGAUCCANNCAUACCGCGUGGCUGAAGAAGGCCUUCGGGUUGUCAAGUCCUUUUGUUGGG
rnacentral:rRNA from 1 species